CCGGCAGCCAUUACACACCGCCAUUACUUGGCACCAUUCCCCAGAGGCCGUUGCCUGCCACCAUUUCCCAGCAGCCAUUGCCUGUUGGUCCCCGGAAACCCAGGGUGCCAUCACAGCCGCAGAUGCCCCAGGUGCGCUGGAUCAGGAGGAGCUGGCUGCAGUGUCUCCGUGUCUGACUCAGGAGUCCUUCGGAGCUGUAGGGCCCCACCUGAGGGCCGGGGCACUGUUCCCCCAGGAUUCUGGGCCGUCAGGCCCCAACAGGAUGUCUGCGCGGGGCUAUGUGGCUUGGGAGACGUGGAGAACUGAAGCUGCUGUGGCACCUCAGGACUUGGACAUUUGACAGACAGGCGCUGGCAAAGAGACUGCUGGCUUUGGGAGUCAUUUUGAGAAGACAUUUCUGCUGAAAAUAAAAUUCAUGAGGAGAACUUCAUAAGUGCCCCAAGGAGACUAGCCUGUGGGCUGCAAAUUUAAAAUAGCAUGCCUGACAAUGUUAUUUCAGACUGUCCUGCCCUGAGCACCUGUUAGACACAAGCAGAGCACAGAGCUGGUGACAAGGAGGAAGGAGGAACUGUGGGAUCCUGCCCUCAACAAGCUUUCAGAUCAGCGUGCAGCCUCUGACCUGAAGCCUUGCCCAUGUUGCGCUGCUCUGCCUCUUCUGAACCUGGAGGUCUUAUGUUUACGUCUCUCAUAACUCUCACCCUAUUUUGCUUUAUAGCAGCUCAUUUGUAAUGACAGAGGAGAAAGAUAACUGAGUACUACUAAAUCUGGUGAAGGAAGCAGAACUGUCAGCAUUCUACCCUCCAUUUCAGUUCAACGGCCACAGAAUCUCGCACAGAAUUUCAUAUGUGACCUUGACAAAUGACUGAAAAUCAAAAUUUUAGGACACUGUAUUUUGUGGUCUAACUCAGAUAAGACAAAGCCUAGCUUCCCAAAGAUUUUAACGUGGUUUUCACAAGCAACGACUCCUUAAUACCAAGAAUGGCUUGAUCGUGAAAGCUUUCAGGGACUGAGCUCUUCCUCUGGGCCAGGCACCGGGAAUGUGAUGAUUUAGGCCAAAAUUCUGCUUCCUGAAUAAUUCAGAUAAUUGCCUCAAUCUCACACUUUACUGAAGUUGGAGAGAUUUGACUUCAAAAGGCAGAGUAGAAAACUGAGGCGCGUUGAGUUUGACUUGCCAAGGUCGUAGAGUGGAGCCCUGAUUCUCACGAAGUCCCGCUGAACCGCACUGUCUCCAACGGAACAAGGAUACUGGGGCCCUCUUUCUAUGCUCCUCUAGGUCUGUUCCAGCUGGGCCUGAGUUGGAACUCAACUUAUAUGGCUGGAGGUUUCUCACCUGGAGAAGCUCUUAGAGGCCCAUCAUUCAUUUUCCUCAGUGCAUAGAACUCUGGAUGGGGGGCUGGACCAUCCGGACAGACUCAGACUGGCAGCGCGGCCUGAGUCUUGGAAACGCAAAUGCCCUCUGUAAAGAAGCCAGCCUUGUCAGUCAGGCAGAAUUGGGCUGCCAUCUCCACACUUACUCGCUGGGGUUCUUGGAAAUAUCUCAGCUAUGCACUAGACGUAACUUGAAUUUGGGGAUUUCUAGAGACCGUGUGUCCACUUGAUUGGGCUAAGGCUGCCCGAGAGCUGGUGAAACCUUAUUUCUGGGUGUGUCUGUGAGGUGUCUCUGGAAGACAUUGACAUUCGAAUGGUAGACUGAGUAGAGAAGACCACCUCUCCCCGUGCGGGUGGGCAUCAUCCAAUCUCCUGAGGGCCCGAACUGAAGAGAAGGCGGAGGAAGGGCAGGUUCUCUCUCUGUGAGCCGCGCAUGCAUCUUCUCCUGCCCUCGGACAUCAGCGCUCCUCGUUCGUGGGCCUUCGGAUUUGGACCAAGACUCCUGCCGUCAGCCCCUAGUUCUCCGGCCUUUGGACUCAGACUAAAUUAUACCGCCAGCGUUCCUGGUUCUCCAGCUUGUAGACAGAAAAGUGUGGGACUUCGUGGCCUCUGUAAUCACGUGAGCCAAUUCCUAUAAUAAAU